rnacentral:lncRNA from 15 species
UAAUGUCAAUACAGCAGCAAAAAUAGAUCUAUUCUUAAUGACAAUUAUGGUGUUCCAGUCCCCCACAUGUCUGAGGUUCACGUACAUGAGGCACAUGGCCACAAAACAACAACCUCACUUGAGCACGGGGAGGAAAGGGAGGCCGAGGAGCAUAAAGUCUUCCAUAAGUCUGAGGGACACACACACGAGACUCAUGGCCACAAAACAACCUCACCUGAGCACGGGGAGAAAAGGCACGAGGAGGAGGAGCAUAAAGUCUCCCACAAGUCUGAGGGACACGUACAUGAGACUCACGGCCACAAAACGUCAUCUGAGAACGGGCAGGAGAGGGAGGAGGAGAAAGAAAGAAAAGUCGAGCACACAGUUUCCCACACAUCUGAGGGACAUGGACAUGAGAUUCAUGGCCACAGAGCAGCAGCCUCAUCUGGUCACGGGCAAAAAAGGGAGGAGGAGGAGGAGAAUAGAGUCUCCCAUAAGUCUGAGGGACAUGGACAUGAGACUCAUGGCCAAAAAAAAACAACCUCUUCUGGGCAUGGGGAGGAGGAGCAUAAAGUCUCCCAUCAUUUUGAUGGACAUGGGCAUGGACAUGAGACUCAUGGUCACAAACCAACAGCCUCAUCUGGGCACGGGGAGGAACAUAAAGUAUCCCAUAAUUUUGAUGGACAUGGACAUGGACAUGAGACUCAUGGUCAUAAACCAACAACCUCAUCUGGGCACAGGGAGGAGCAUAAAGUCUCCCAUAAUUUUGAUGGACAUGGACAUGGACAUGGACAUGAGACUCAUGGUCACAAACCAACAUCAGGGCACGGGGAAGAGCAUAAAGUAUCCCAUCAUUUUGAUGGACAUGGACAUGGACAUGGACAUGAGACUCAUGGUCACAAACCAACAACCUCAUCUGGGCACGGGGUGGAGCAUAAAGUCUCCCAUAAUUUUGAUGGACAUGGACAUGGACAUGGACAUGAGACCCAUGGCCACAGAACAACAACCUCAUCUGGCCACGGGGAGGAGGAGCAUAAAGUCUCCCACAAGUCUGAGGGACACGUACAAGAGACUCACAGCCACAAACCAACAACCUCAUCUGGGCACGGGCAUGGGCAUGAGGGAGAGCAUAAAGAAGAAAAAGCUGAAAGGAAAGGUAUCUUGGCAAUGUCCUUGUAGAUGGUGAAGUUUACUAUGCAGUGCUAAACUUUUACAGCAAGCUGAGCUUAUAGCCAAAAAAUGGGAUCCUAGAAACUGAAAUAAACAGAAAUGUCUCAGUGACAUGACUGCCUUUGGAUCAAUUGAAGCUUAAGAAUGAACCUCACAAGAUAUUUUUUGCUUAUGUUCAUGAUAAUUGUGGUGUUUCAGUCUCCCA